UACGAAGGGGGCAAGCGUUGUUCGGAAUUACUGGGCGUAAAGGGCGCGUAGGCGGCUUAUCAAGUCAGGCGUGAAAUUCCCGGGCUCAACCUGGGGGCUGCGCUUGAUACUGAUUGGCUUGAAUGCGGGAGAGGAUAGUGGAAUUCCCAGUGUAGAGGUGAAAUUCGUAGAUAUUGGGAGGAACACCGGUGGCGAAGGCGGGUCUCUGGGCAGUAACUGACGCUGAGGAGCGAAAGCGUGGGGAGCGAACAGG
rnacentral:rRNA from 1 species